GUGCAGCAGUCGCGAAACCUCUGCAAUGCGCGCAAGCGCGACAGGGCUACCCCGAGUGCCGCCCGCUGAGGGCGGCUUUUCUCCGGUGUAAUGAGUCGGAGGAAUAAGGGGAGGGCAAGCCUGGUGUCAGCCGCCGCGGUAAUACCAGCUCCCCGAGUGGUGGGGACGGUUAUUGGGCCUAAAGCGUCCGUAGCCGGUUCGGCAAGUCCUCCGUUAAAGCCAACGAUCCAAUCGUUGGAAUGCGGGGGAUACUGCCGGACUAGGGGGCGGGAGAGGCCGACGGUACUCCUGGGGUAGGGGUGAAAUCCUAU
rnacentral:rRNA from 1 species